rnacentral:tRNA from 2 species
GGCGCUGUAGCCAAGUGGUAAGGCAGAGGUCUGCAAAACCUCCACCGGCGGUUCGAGUCCGCCCAGCGCCUCCA